UACGUAGGGGGCUAGCGUUGUCCGGAUUUAUUGGGCGUAAAGAGCGUGUGGGCGGCCAGGUAGGUCUGCUGUGAAAACUCGAGGCUCAACCUCGAGACGUCGGCGGAAACCAUCUGGCUAGAGUCCGGAAGAGGAGAGUGGAAUUCCUGGUGUAGCGGUGAAAUGCGCAGAUAUCAGGAAGAACACCCGUGGCGAAGGCGGCUCUCUGGGACGGUACUGACGCUGAGACGCGAAAGCGUGGGGAGCGAACAGG
rnacentral:rRNA from 1 species